UCCUUCGGGGUGAGUGGCAGACGGGUGAGUAACGCGUGGGAACGUGCCCUUCAGUUCGGAAUAGCCCAGGGAAACUUGGGCUAAUACCGGAUACGUGCGAGAGCAGAAAGAUUUAUCGCUGAAGGAUCGGCCCGCGUCUGAUUAGCUAGUUGGUGGGGUAAUGGCCCACCAAGGCGACGAUCAGUAGCUGGUCUGAGAGGAUGAUCAGCCACAUUGGGACUGAGACACGGCCCAAACUCCUACGGGAGGCAGCAGUGGGGAAUAUUGGACAAUGGGCGCAAGCCUGAUCCAGCCAUGCCGCGUGAGUGAUGAAGGCCUUAGGGUUGUAAAGCUCUUUCGUCCGGGACGAUAAUGACGGUACCGGAAGAAGAAGCCCCGGCUAACUUCGUGCCAGCAGCCGCGGUAAUACGAAGGGGGCUAGCGUUGUUCGGAAUCACUGGGCGUAAAGGGCGCGUAGGCGGCUUUGUAAGUCGGGGGUGAAAGCCUGUGGCUCAACCACAGAAUUGCCUUCGAUACUGCGAGGCUUGAGACCGGAAGAGGUAAGUGGAACUGCGAGUGUAGAGGUGAAAUUCGUAGAUAUUCGCAAGAACACCAGUGGCGAAGGCGGCUUACUGGUCCGGUUCUGACGCUGAGGCGCGAAAGCGUGGGGAGCAAACAGGAUUAGAUACCCUGGUAGUCCACGCCGUAAACGAUGAAUGCCAGCCGUUGGCGAGCUUGCUCGUCAGUGGCGCAGCUAACGCUUUAAGCAUUCC
rnacentral:rRNA from 1 species